GGAAUUCCAUUGCACCUAGGUAUGCUCUUCUUUGAUAUAUGGGUGUUGAAAAACUAUGCAGAUGCGUCAUCAUGGACCAAAAUUAUAAGUUUGGAUGCUCAAGCGCCCCCACAGGACAUACCAAGGCCAUUUCAUGGUUUUUACAGAAAGAAAAUACCUUGUGCAAAAGCUUUUAGGAAGAUUGGCGAGGUUAUAUUGGAAACAUAUAAAAAAAGGCUUGUCUCGCGAAACCUUGAGACCCAAGAGGUUAAAGACCUUGGGAUUACUGGAUCUAAGUUUAGUUUUGUUGAUCCUUAUGUUGAGAGUCUAGUUUUGCUAGACAAACCCGACCUUGCAGUUACUUACUAAGGGAAAGUAAGAGGAACAACAACAGGCAAGGACGCUGAGGAAUCAUGGAUGCUAAUGAGCUGUACAUAAGUAACAAACUUUAACUCAGUGAAAGAAAAGAGUCAACAAAGUUUCUUGGUGUUGUGUAAUUAGUAUUGGCAUUAGUUAUUAUGUCAAAAUGGAUUGUAGUUAUAAAUUUAGAGGAGUUUAUUUUGUUAAACUAAUUUGGGCUACACCACUCUUAUGUUAGUUUUUCCGGAUGAUGUGAAGUUUUGUUUCAACGUGUUUACAAAAAUGAUUAAGCACUA